UCGCCUUGUAGAACUGCUUCUUCAGCC
rnacentral:piRNA from 1 species